AAUGAACGCUGGCGGUAGGCCUAACACAUGCAAGUCGAACGGCAGCACAGUAAGAGCUUGCUCUUACGGGUGGCGAGUGGCGGACGUGUGAGGAAUACAUCGGACUCUACUUUUUCGUGGGGGAUAACGUAGGUAAACUUACGCUAAUACCGCAUACGACCUACGGGUGAAAGCAGUGGAUCUUCGGACCUUGCGCGAUUGAAUGAGCCGAUGUCGGUUUAGCUAGUUGGCGGGGUAAAGGCCCACCAAGGCGACGAUCCGUAGCUGGUCUGAGAGGAUGGUAGGCCACCCUGGAACUGAAACAGCGUCAAGACUCCUACGGGAGGCAGCAGUGGGGAAUAUUGGACAAUGGGCGGAAGCAUGAUCCAACCAUACCGAGUGGGAGACGAAGGCCUUCGGGUUGUAAAGACCUUUUGUUGGGAAAGAAAAGCAGCAGGUUAAUACCCCGCUGUUCUGACGGUACCCAAAGAAUAAGCACCGGCUAACUUCGUG
rnacentral:rRNA from 1 species